GAUGAACGCUGGCGGCGUGCCUAAUACAUGCAAGUCGAGCGAACAGACGAGGAGCUUGCUCCUCUGACGUUAGCGGCGGACGGGUGAGUAACACGUGGAUAACCUACCUAUAAGACUGGGAUAACUUCGGGAAACCGGAGCUAAUACCGGAUAAUAUAUUGAACCGCAUGGUUCAAUAGUGAAAGACGGUUUUGCUGUCACUUCUAGCUGGAUCCGCGCCGCAUUAGCUAGUUGGUAAGGUAACGGCUUACCAAGGCGACGAUGCGUAGCCGACCUGAGAGGGUGAUCGGCCACACUGGAACUGAGACACGGUCCAGACUCCUACGGGAGGCAGCAGUAGGGAAUCUUCCGCAAUGGGCGAAAGCCUGACGGAGCAACGCCGCGUGAGUGAUGAAGGUCUUCGGAUCGUAAAACUCUGUUAUUAGGGAAGAACAAAUGUGUAAGUAACUAUGCACGUCUUGACGGUACCUAAUCAGAAAGCCACGGCUAACUACGUG
rnacentral:rRNA from 1 species